rnacentral:rRNA from 1 species
GAUGAACGCUGGCGGCGUGCCUAAUACAUGCAAGUCGAACGAAACUUCUUUAUCACCGAGUGCUUGCACUCACCGAUAAAGAGUUGAGUGGCGAACGGGUGAGUAACACGUGGGCAACCUGCCCAAAAGAGGGGGAUAACACUUGGAAACAGGUGCUAAUACCGCAUAACCAUAGUUACCGCAUGGUAACUAUGUAAAAGGUGGCUAUACUACCGCUUUUGGAUGGGCCCGCGGCGCAUUAGCUAGUUGGUAGGGUAAAGGCUUACCAAGGCAAUGAUGCGUAGCCGAAUUGAGAGGUUGAUCGGCCACAUUGGGUCUGAGACACGGCCCAAACUCCUACGGGAGGCAGCAGUAGGGAAUCUUCCACAAUGGGCGAAAGCCUGAUGGAGCAACGCCGCGUGGGUGAAGAAGGUCUUCGGAUCGUAAAACCCUGUUGUUAGAGAAGAAAGUGCGUGAGAGUAACUGUUCACGUUUCGACGGUAUCUAACCAGAAAGCCACGGCUAACUACGUG